UACGUAGGGUGCAAGCGUUAAUCGGAAUUACUGGGCGUAAAGCGUGCGCAGGCGGUUGUGUAAGACCGAUGUGAAAUCCCCGGGCUUAACCUGGGAACUGCAUUUGUGACUGCCUGGCUGGAGUGCGGCAGAGGGGGAUGGAAUUCCGCGUGUAGCAGUGAAAUGCGUAGAUAUGCGGAGGAACACCGAUGGCGAAGGCAAUCCCCUGGGCCUGCACUGACGCUCAUGCACGAAAGCGUGGGGAGCAAACAGG
rnacentral:rRNA from 1 species